AGCCAUGUGGUAAGUACAAAGCGAACUAUUCUUUCGCCUUUUACUAAAGAAUACCGUGUGCUUGCCACUUCAAGUGGCAUACGCUUAUUUUUGGCAAGAGUUUUCCUUUUUGGAAAGCU
rfam:Lupinus angustifolius cultivar Tanjil contig_34167, whole genome shotgun sequence.